rnacentral:rRNA from 1 species
UGAGGAUCUAAACCCUUCCCAGAGUAUCAAUUGGAGGGCAAGUCUGGUGCCAGCAGCCGCGGUAAUUCCAGCUCCAAUAGCGUAUAUUAAAGUUGUUGCAGUUAAGAAGCUCGUAGUUGAAUUUCUGCCUUGUCAUUAAUCUCGCUUCCGAGCGUUUUUUUAUUGACUUGGCAUCUUCUGGAUUUGGUGCCUUCGGGUACUAUUUUCCAGGAUUUACUUUGAGAAAACUAGAGUGUUUCAAACAGGCAUUCGCCUUGAAUACUACAGCAUGGAAUAAUGAAGUAGGACUUUGGUUCUAUUUUGUUGGUUAUUGAGCCACAGUAAUGGUUAAUAGGAGCAGUUGGGGGCAUUCGUAUU